AGUGAACGCUGGCGGCAGGCCUAACACAUGCAAGUCGAGCGGCAGCACAGCAGUAGCAAUACUGUGGGUGGCGAGCGGCGGACGGGUGAGGAAUGCAUCGGAAUCUGCCCUGUCGUGGGGGAUAACGUAGGGAAACUUACGCUAAUACCGCAUGAUCUGGAGACAGCAAAGCGGGGGAGCGCAAGACCUCGCGCGAUGGGAUGAGCCGAUGCCCGAUUAGCUAGUUGGCGGGGUAAGAGGCCACCAAGGCGACGAUCGGUAGCUGGUCUGAGAGGAUGAUCAGCCACACUGGAACUGAGACACGGUCCAGACUCCUACGGGAGGCAGCAGGGGGGAAUAUUGGACAAUGGGGGAAACCCUGAUCCAGCCAUGCCGCGUGUGUGAAGAAGGCCUUCGGGUUGUAAAGCACUUUUGUCCGGAACGAAAAGCGGUCGACUAAUACUCGGCCGUGCUGACGGUACCGGAAGAAUAAGCACCGGCUAACUUCGUGCCAGCAGCCGCCGUAAUAC
rnacentral:rRNA from 1 species